AAGUCCCGCAACGAGCGCAACCCCUACGUUUAGUUGCUAACAGGUGAAGCUGAGCACUCUAGACGAACUGCCGUUGACAAACGGAGGAAGGUGGGGAUGACGUCAAAUCAUCAUGCCCCUUAUGUUCUGGGCUACACACGUGCUACAAUGGCCGGUACAGACGGAGGCGAAGCCGCGAGGCGGAGCAAACCGAAAAAGCCGGUCUCAGUUCGGAUUGCAGGCUGCAAUUCGCCUGCAUGAAGUCGGAAUCGCUAGUAAUCGCAGGUCAGCAUACUGCGGUGAAUACGUUCCCGGGCCUU
rnacentral:rRNA from 1 species